rnacentral:rRNA from 1 species
AGCGGCGGACGGGUGAGUAACACGUGGGCAACCUGCCUGUAAGAUCGGAAUAACCCCGGGAAACCGGGGCUAAUGCCGGGUAAUACUUUCUUUCGCAUGAAGGAAAGUUGAAAGAUGGCUUCUUGCUAUCACUUACAGAUGGGCCCGCGGCGCACUAGCUAGUUGGUGAGGUAACGGCUCACCAAGGCGACGAUGCGUAGCCGACCUGAGAGGGUGAUCGGCCACACUGGGACUGAGACACGGCCCAGACUCCUACGGGAGGCAGCAGUAGGGAAUCUUCCGCAAUGGACGAAAGUCUGACGGAGCAACGCCGCGUGAACGAUGAAGGUCUUCGGAUCGUAAAGUUCUGUUGUUAGGGAAGAACAAGUACCGUGCGAAUAGAGCGGUACCUUGACGGUACCUAACGAGGAAGCCCCGGCUAACUACGUGCCAGCAGCCGCGGUAAUACGUAGGGGGCAAGCGUUGUCCGGAAUUAUUGGGCGUAAAGCGCGCGCAGGCGGUUCCUUAAGUCUGAUGUGAAAGCCCACGGCUCAACCGUGGAGGGUCAUUGGAAACUGGGGAACUUGAGGACAGAAGAGGAGAGUGGAAUUCCACGUGUAGCGGUGAAAUGCGUAGAUAUGUGGAGGAACACCAGUGGCGA